AACGAACGCUGGCGGCAUGCCUAACACAUGCAAGUCGAACGAUGCUUUCGGGCCUAGUGGCGCACGGGUGCGUAACGCGUGGGAACCUGCCCCUUGGUUCGGAAUAACUGUUAGAAAUGACUGCUAAUACCGGAUAACGUCGUAAGACCAAAGAUUUAUCGCCGUGGGAUGGGCCCGCGUAGGAUUAGCUAGUUGGUAUGGUAAAGGCGCACCAAGGCGACGAUCCUUAGCUGGUCUGAGAGGAUGAUCAGCCACACUGGGACUGAGACACGGCCCAGACUCCUACGGGAGGCAGCAGUGGGGAAUAUUGGACAAUGGGCGAAAGCCUGAUCCAGCAAUGCCGCGUGAGUGAUGAAGGCCUUAGGGUUGUAAAGCUCUUUUACCCGGGAUGAUAAUGACAGUACCGGGAGAAUAAGCUCCGGCUAACUCCGUG
rnacentral:rRNA from 1 species